rnacentral:rRNA from 1 species
GCAAGUCGAACGGUAAGGCUCCUUCGGGAGUACACGAGUGGCGCACGGGUGAGUAACGCGUAUGCAACCUACCUUGAACUGAGGGAUAGCCCAGAGAAAUCUGGAUUAAUACUUCAUAAUAAUAUAAUUUGGCAUCAUUUUAUAUUUAAAGCUCCGGCGGUUUAAGAUGGGCAUGCGUGACAUUAGUUAGUUGGUAAGGUAACGGCUUACCAAGACAGCGAUAGGUAGGGGUCCUGAGAGGGAGAUC